rnacentral:tRNA from 1 species
GGGCCUAUAGCUCAGUGGUAGAGCAUUAGAGUGCAGAUCAAGAGGUCACCGGUUUGAACCCGGUUGGAUCUU